AAAUUGAAGAGUUUGAUCAUGGCUCAGAUUGAACGCUGGCGGCAGGCCUAACACAUGCAAGUCGAGCGGUAGCACAGAGAGCUUGCUCUCGGGUGACGAGCGGCGGACGGGUGAGUAAUGUCUGGGAAACUGCCUGAUGGAGGGGGAUAACUACUGGAAACGGUAGCUAAUACCGCAUAACGUCGCAAGACCAAAGUGGGGGACCUUCGGGCCUCAUGCCAUCAGAUGUGCCCAGAUGGGAUUAGCUAGUAGGUGGGGUAACGGCUCACCUAGGCGACGAUCCCUAGCUGGUC
rnacentral:rRNA from 1 species